UCGCUCGAGGGUGGCGAGAUCGUCUCCUUCAUUCUGAAGGGCCUGGACAUGGAGUAUAACUCGGUUGUCUCGUCCAUCUCUGCCCUCGUCGAGCCCCUCACCAUCACCGAGCUCUACGACCAGCUUCUUAGCUUUGAAG
rnacentral:snoRNA from 1 species